rnacentral:lncRNA from 1 species
GGGUUCCCUAGUACUAGACAAAUAUGUACCGGGGGAACCCUGGAAACCGUACCACAUUUAUAACCCGCUAUCGGGUCAACACAUUGUGAUCCACCAAACUAACCGAGACCCGUUGAUUCCAUCGGGUAGUGCUCUAGGCUUGUCCAAACAAUUUGAAUUGAAAUUGUUGAGAUUUCUUUGUAAACCAGGUAAUUUUGGAAAGGGAGAGGUAGAUAUUCAAACAAUUGGCACAAAUUUGUGGAGGAAUUUAGGGGAAUCGCCUCGUUAUCUAGAGAAAUAUAGGUCUGCCCCAUUUGUGAAUGGAGUUUAUCAUUGGAUCAACCUAAG